UGCAGUCGACGASAUCUUCGGAUCUGUGGCGCASGGGUGCGUAACGCGUGGGGAUCUACCAYGGGGUGCGGAAUAACUCAAGAAAUUUGAGCUAAUACCGCMAAUGUCUUCGGACCAAAGAUUUAUCGCCCUUUGAUGAMCCCGCGUARGAUUAKCUUGUUGGUGAGGUAAGAGCUCACCARGGCGACKAUCUUUAKCUGGUCUGAGARGAUGAUCASCCACACUGGGACUGAGACACGGCCCASACUCCUACGGGAGGCAGCAGUGGGGAAUAUUGGACAAUGGGCGAAAGCCUGAUCCASCARUGCCGCGUGAGUGAUGAAGGCCUUAGGGUUGUAAAGCUCUUUUACCAGGGAUGAUAAUGACWGUACCUGGARAAUAASCUCCGGCUAACUCCGUGCCAGCAGCCGCGGUAAUACGGAGGGAGCUAGCGUUGUUCGGAAUUACUGGGCGUAAAGCGCGCGUAGGCGGUUACUCAAGUCAGAGGUGAAAGCCCGGAGCUCAACUCCGGAACUGCCUUUGAAACUAGGUGACUAGAAUCUUGGAGAGGCGAGUGGAAUUCCGAGUGUAGAGGUGAAAUUCGUAGAUAUUCGGAAGAACACCAGUGGCGAAGGCGACUCGCUGGACAAGUAUUGACGCUGAGGUGCGAAAGCGUGGGGAGCAAACARGAUUAGAUACCCUGGUAGUCCACGCCGUAACGAUGAUAACUAGCUGCUAGGGCCCACAGGGCUUUGGUGGCGCAGCUAACGCAUUAAGUUAUCCGCCUGGGGAGUACGGUCGCAAGAUUAAAACUCAAAGGAAUUGACGGGGGCCUGCACAAGCGGUGGAGCAUGUGGUUUAAUUCGACGCAACGCGCAGAACCUUACCAGCGUUUGACAUCCUUAUCGCGGAUUCYAGAGAUAGUUUCCUUCAGCUYGGCUGGAUAARUGACAGGUGCUGCAUGGCUGUYGUCAGCUCGUGUCGUGAGAUGUUGGGUUAAGUCCCGCAACGAGCGCAACCCCYAUCYUUAGUUGCCACCAUUUAGUUGGGCACUYUAAAGRGACCGCCGGUGAUAAGCCGGAGGAAGGUGGGGAUGACGUCAAGUCCUCAUGGCCCUUACACGCUGGGCUACACACGUGCUACAAWGGCGGUGACAGUGGGCAGCUASUUCGCGAGAAGRUGCUAAUCUYYAAAAACCGUYUCAGUUCGGAUUGUUSUYUGCAACUCGAGAGCAUGAAGGSGGAAUCGCUWGUAAUCGCGGAUCAGCAUGCCGCGGUGAAUACGUUCCCMGGCCUUGUACACACCSCCCGUCACACCMUGGGAGUUGGAUCAACCCGAAGSUGGUGCGCUAACUCGCMAGAGAGGCAGCCA
rnacentral:rRNA from 1 species